rnacentral:pre_miRNA from 1 species
AUCCGCCAACGAGGAGGCCGGAACUGUCGAAUCCGAUGAUUCCGGCCUCCUCGCCGGCCGAU